rnacentral:rRNA from 1 species
UGAGCUUGAUCCUGGCUCAGAACGAAACGCUGGCGGCAGGCUUAAACACAUGCAAGUCGAGCGCCCCGCAAGGGGAGCGGCAGACGGGUGAGUAACGCGUGGGAAUCUACCCUUUUCUACGGAAUAACGCAUGGAAACGUGUGCUAAUACCGUAUGAGCCCUUCGGGGGAAAGAUUUAUCGGGAAAGGAUGAGCCCGCGUUGGAUUAGCUAGUUGGUGGGGUAAAGGCCUACCAAGGCGACGAUCCAUAGCUGGUCUGAGAGGAUGAUCAGCCACAUUGGGACUGAGACACGGCCCAAACUCCUACGGGAGGCAGCAGUGGGGAAUAUUGGACAAUGGGCGCAAGCCUGAUCCAGCCAUGCCGCGUGAGUGAUGAAGGCCCUAGGGUUGUAAAGCUCUUUCACCGGUGAAGAUAAUGACGGUAACCGGAGAAGAAGCCCCGGCUA